rnacentral:rRNA from 1 species
UGGGGAAUAUUGGACAAUGAGCGAAAGCUUGAUCCAGCAAUACCGCGUGUGUGAAGAAGGCCUGCGGGUUGUAAAGCACUUUCAGUGGGGAAGAAAAGCUUAAGGUUAAUAGCCUUGAGUCUUGACGUUACCCACAGAAGAAGCACCGGCUAACUCCGUGCCAGCAGCCGCGGUAAUACGGAGGGUGCAAGCGUUAAUCGGAAUUACUGGGCGUAAAGCGCGCGUAGGCGGUUUAGUCAGUCAGAUGUGAAAGCCCCGGGCUUAACCUGGGAACUGCAUUUGAUACUGCUGAACUAGAGUAUGGUAGAGGGAAGUGGAAUUCCGGGUGUAGCGGUGAAAUGCGUAGAUAUCCGGAGGAACACCAGUGGCGAAGGCGACUUCCUGGACCAAUACUGACGCUGAGGUGCGAAAGCGUGGGUAGCAAACA